rnacentral:misc_RNA from 1 species
AUUCAAUUUAAUAUUACUCAAUCUCUCUAGUCGGAUCAAACGGUAAUGAAAUAACAUCAAAGUUGAAAAAAUGAGAACAUCGUGCACACAAAAGGUGACUUUUAACUAUAGAUAUUGCAUUUAGCUAAACUGAGAUAGCUUAUGUUUAGUGUCCAAGUAACUUGCAAGGCAUCAUAGCAACGGUACAAGGCACAUAAUUUUCCUGAUUCAAAUUUUUGGUUAUAUAUAUAUAUAUCCCUUCCUGCUUGAACUUCAACAAGACCAAAUAUAACCUAACAAUCCACAUCUACAAGAUCCAAAAAUCUUUCCCCCUAAAUCACGAUGCCCACAAUCAAAACCAUCCAAUUUCAAUC